AGUGAACGCUGGCGGUGGGCCUAACACAUGCAAGUCGAACGGCAGCACAGUAAGAGCUUGCUCUUACGGGUGGCGAGUGGCGGACGGGUGAGGAAUACAUCGGAAUCUACUUUUUCGUGGGGGAUAACGUAGGGAAACUUACGCUAAAACCGCAUACGACCUACGGGUGAAAGCAGGGGAUCUUCGGACCUUGCGCGAUUGAAUGAGCCGAUGUCGGAUUAGCUAGUUGGCGGGGUAAAGGCCCACCAAGGCGACGAUCCGUAGCUGGUCUGAGAGGAUGAUCAGCCACACUGGAACUGAGACACGGUCCAGACUCCUACGGGAGGCAGCAGUGGGGAAUAUUGGACAAUGGGCGCAAGCCUGAUCCAGCCAUACCGCGUGGGUGAAGAAGGCCUUCGGGUUGUAAAGCCCUUUUGUUGGGAAAGAAAAGCAGCAGGUUAAUACCCCGCUGUUCUGACGGUACCCAAAGAAUAAGCACCGGCUAACUUCGUG
rnacentral:rRNA from 1 species